GGCACGGCUAACUACNUGCCAGCAGCCGCUGUAAUACGUAGGUAGCAAGCGUUUCCUGGAUUAUUGGGCGUAAAGCGAGCGCAGGCGGUUUUNCUUAAGUCUGAUGGGAAAGCCCCCCGCCUCANNCGGGGAGUGUCAUUGGAAACUGGGAGACUUGAGUGCAGAAGAGGAGAGUGGAAUUCCAUGUGUAGCGGUGAAAUGCGUAGAUAUAUGGAGGAACACCAGUGGCGAAGGCGGCUCUGUGGUCUGUAACUGACGGUGAGGCACGAAAGCGUGGGGAGCAAACAGGAUUAGAUACUCGGUAGUCCACGCCGUAAACGAUGAGUGAUAAGUGUUGGAGGGUUUCCGCCCUUCAGUGCUGCAGCUAACGCAUUAAGCACUCCGCCUGGGGAGUACGACCGCAAGGUUGAAACUCAAAGGAAUUGACGGGGGCCCGCACAAGCGGUGGAGCAUGUGGUUUAAUUCGAAGCAACGCGAAGAACCUUACCAGGUCUUGACAUCCUUUGACCACUCUAGAGAUAGAGCUUCCCCUUCGGGGGCAAAGUGACAGGUGGUGCAUGGUUGUCGUCAGCUCGUGUCGUGAGAUGUUGGGUUAAGUCCCGCAACGAGCGCAACCCUUAUUGUUAGUCGCCAUCAUUUAGUUGGGCACUCUAGCAAGACUGCCGGUGACAAACCGGAGGAAGGUGGGGAUGACGUCAAAUCAUCAUGCCCCUUAUGACCUGGGCUACACACGUGCUACAAUGGGAAGUACAACGAGUCGCAAAGUCGCGAGGCUAAGCUAAUCUCUUAAAGCUUCUCUCAGUUCGGAUUGUAGGCCGCAACUCGCCUACAUGAAGCCGGAAUCGCUAGUAAUCGCGGAUCAGCACGCCGCGGUGAAUACGUUCCCGGGCCUUGUACACACC
rnacentral:rRNA from 1 species